rnacentral:lncRNA from 1 species
UCCUGCGGCGUUGGUGGCGAGCUAAGGUGGAGGCAAGCAGCGGCGGCGACGGCGACAGUGGCGGCAGUGCCAUGGUGGGGCUCGCAGGUAUCGUGGCGUCGCCCGCCUGGGCAGGGUGAGAGCGCUCGGUGCGGCCGCGCCGCCAUGUUAGCCCUCCGGGGUCACCUUAGGCGUCGCUUGGCCUCUCGCCGGGGCUUUCCGCGCGGCCGGGGUCGGGCGCACCCUUGUCUGGCGUCAGAUGACCUCCCCUUUUCGUCCCAACCUGGGCCUUGGGGGUGGUCCCUUCCCGUCCCUUGGGUGGGUUCCGGGGUUCCUUAGCUGUCACUCUGGCCUCCAAGGUCAGCGCGCUCCCGGGACGGGGCUGGGAGGGGCGGGCGCGACCACCACCUCCUCUGUUCCGGACCUUGGCGAGGGGCUCAGCUUCUGGGAGGCUGGACACUCUUUCCUCGCCACUUCAGUUUCUCUCCCCCCCCCCUUUUUUUUUCUUUUUCUUCCCCCACCCUUAUCCGAAGGAGUGUGGGGAGAAAGUAGAAGUGGGCCCCGAACGCUCUCUUUUGUGUCCGGAGUGAUAGGGUGACCAUCUGCUACGGGUCCCGUGUGCUUCUCACUUCCACCAACUUUUCGUCGAGUCUGGACACCGGUUCCCUCUCCAGUUUGUGGGGAGUGGCACUCAAGGGCAGCAGAAGGAACGGAGUGCCUGGCUGGAAAGGAAGAAUGGGGGAUGGGGACAGUCGAUUUUUUUUUUUUUUUCCUUUCUCUGCCAAACCACCUUUAGGUUUCUUCUAAGUCUCUUGUCUCUUUUUACUUGGGAAACUGGGGCCCGUUCUAGUUUAUAGGUUAUUUCUGUUUAUAGGUUCGGAUCUUCUUUGUCCCUUUCAGGGAACUGAUAUAUUGGGGACAGCUCUGCCCUGUCUGACAUGGUCCAGCCAUCCUGUCAGCCAUCUGAACUGCAACACCAAAGCCAGGACCCAAAAAAAGUUCCAUUUUAUGUGCCCCUGGCAAGCAUUAGAUUGAGCUGGCUUGUUUCUUUUAAGUCAAGAUUCAUUAAUGGCCAGAGUUCCUGUUUAAAGAUUGGAUUUCUGGAACCUUGGUCAGUUUCCAGGAACCAGAUCAAUUCUCGAUCUGAAAAUGGUCAUCUUAAAGUUGUUGACAGAACACUUUAACUUCUUACCUGUUAUUUCUAGGGGGAUGAGAGUUAGGCUGCCCUUUUUACUUGUUCUCUUUGAAAUACACGCAUUCCAUUCAAGCUUGUGACUGUGUGAUUUACCAAGAGCCCUGUAUUGCCUUCCUCUCUGUCUUCUGGCUCUGCCCUGGGAAUGUUCAGGAAUCUGUAUCCUGGUGUGGUAUGAGCCCUGUGGAGGGAGGGGGACAGGAUUAUUUCCAGAGAAGAUUGUGGCAAACAUUGUCUCUCAGGCAUAUGGAAGAAGUCAGUGGUCACCUGAAAAAAGAGACUUUGGUAAAUUAGUCUUAUGUUUGUGUAUACACAUUUAAAUCUCCUGGGGAAGAUUAGCUGCCAGCUCAGAGGCUCGCCCUUUGGGAUGUUGGCUCCUGAAGCGAUCCAAGUUUGAAAGUAGAUAUCUAGUAAGGAGUCAGCAGCGAGCCUGCUUCCUUCAAAACCUCUGUGUAAUUAAGCUGUCUUUGGCCAGCCCCAGAGUCAAAGCCAAAAAUCUUAAUUCCUGUCCUGUCCCUCAGAUACAUUUCAGUCACAAUUCAGUUACUUUACAGAUAGACUUAAAAGUCUCCUAGAACCCACAUCUCUAAAAGUUUUGGUACUUAGUAACCUCCACCCUACUGAGCUUGAGCUGGUCAGGCCUUCUCUGGCAUUAGUGCCUGGAAUCUCGUGUGUUGCUAGAUUCCCAUAAAGCUGUUCCACUUCACCUUCUCCACCUUUGCUCCUCUUUGGAGGUAGCAACCUCUUUAAGAAAAAGGGAUAUUUAGUUCUGUGUACUAAGGACUUUGCAAUAAAGACACAUCCCAUUGCUU